rnacentral:rRNA from 1 species
UACGUAGGGCGCAAGCGUUGUCCGGAAUUAUUGGGCGUAAAGAGCGCGUAGGCGGCCUGGUGCGUCCGCUGUGAAAUCCCGGGGCUCAACCCCGGGCCUGCAGUGGAUACGGGCUGGCUAGAGGCAGGCAGGGGAGAACGGAAUUCCUGGUGUAGCGGUGAAAUGCGCAGAUAUCAGGAGGAACACCGGUGGCGAAGGCGGUUCUCUGGGCCUGUACUGACGCUGAGGAGCGAAAGCGUGGGGAGCGAACAGG